UACGUAGGGUGCAAGCGUUGUCCGGAAUCAUUGGGCGUAAAGCGCGCGUAGGUGGCUUCGUAAGUCCGUUGUGAAAGUCAAAGGCUCAACCUUUGAAUGCCGAUGGAUACUGCGAAGCUAGAGUACGGAAGAGGCGAGUGGAAUUCCUGGUGUAGCGGUGGAAUGCGCAGAUAUCAGGAGGAACACCAAUAGCGAAGGCAGCUCGCUGGGACGUUUACUGACACUAAGGCGCGAAAGCGUGGGGAGCGAACAGG
rnacentral:rRNA from 1 species